UAUAAACACGCCACAUCUAUUAAAAUAGUAUUUUUAAAAAAACUGUUUAAUCACUUGACAAAUGAUAUCGAAAAAUUAUAAAAUUUGAUUUUUAUAUAGUCGUUUCGAUAGUGUAAAUUAUGUCUGACGAAAUUGAUUGUUGAAUCGAAUGCUUAUCAUUGAAAAUAAUUGAUAGUACGAAUGCUUCGUGCUUUCGAAAUUACAGUA
rnacentral:lncRNA from 1 species